rnacentral:lncRNA from 1 species
GGAAAUAUGAUAAAUUCAUAGUUUUGGAGUAGAGACGACUUAAACUUAAAGGUCGUAUCCUUACUUUAUGACUCGUACAUAAAUAUCAUACCUACCUGGGAAGAAAAUAGAUUGAACAAAAGUUAUGACCAGCUUAUAACUAUUGGUCAUGAGUUGUAACAAGCUGGUACGACUAGCGAGGAGGAGUCAUAAGCUAGCCUGUGAAUAAUGAUAAUGCUCUAUUUGGGUUACGACUCAAGUAUAUGAGUCAUACCCAGUGGUUACAUCUGGUAACCACCACUUGUACC